UGGGGAAUAUUGCACAAUGGGCGAAAGCCUGAUGCAGCGACGCCGCGUGAGGGAUGACGGCCUUCGGGUUGUAAACCUCUUUCAGCAGGGACGAAGCGCAAGUGACGGUACCUGCAGAAGAAGCACCGGCUAACUACGUGCCAGCAGCCGCGGUAAUACGUAGGGUGCAAGCGUUGUCCGGAAUUACUGGGCGUAAAGAGUUCGUAGGCGGUUUGUCGCGUCGUUUGUGAAAACCAGCAGCUCAACUGCUGGCUUGCUGGCGAUACGGGCAGACUUGAGUACUGCAGGGGAGACUGGAAUUCCUGGUGUAGCGGUGAAAUGCGCAGAUAUCAGGAGGAACACCGGCGGCGAAGGCGGGUCUCUGGGCAGUAACUGACGCUGAGGAACGAAAGCGUGGGUAGCGAACAGG
rnacentral:rRNA from 1 species